rnacentral:lncRNA from 1 species
UAAGUAGCUUAAGUUUUUGAAGAAAAAGGUAGAGAAGGAAGGGUGGUUGAAGCAAGACCAUAAGAAGUACCUUUAGCAUUUCAAGUACCCGGUUCAGAGCCAGGACAUCUUUGGCAUAUCCACCAGCAGCGCCUUUGGCAUGAUAGGCAGGCAGCAUAUCUUGAUCCAUCGGUAGCAGAGCCACCGAGUGAAUGACCUUAACGAUCGUUUUAGAAGUAG